UACGAAGGGGGCUAGCGUUGUUCGGAAUUACUGGGCGUAAAGCGCGCGCAGGCGGUCUGUUAAGUUAGGGGUGAAAUCCCUGGGCUCAACCCAGGAAUUGCCUUUAAGACUGGCAGGCUUGAGUGCGGGAGAGGUGAGUGGAAUUCCCAGUGUAGAGGUGAAAUUCGUAGAUAUUGGGAAGAACACCAGUGGCGAAGGCGGCUCACUGGCCCGUAACUGACGCUGAGGUGCGAAAGCGUGGGGAGCAAACAGG
rnacentral:rRNA from 1 species